rnacentral:rRNA from 1 species
UACGAAGGGGGCUAGCGUUGUUCGGAAUUACUGGGCGUAAAGGGCUCGUAGGUGGCCAACUAAGUCAGACGUGAAAUCCCUCAGCUUAACUGGGGAACUGCGUCUGAUACUGGAUGGCUUGAGUUUGGGAGAGGGAUGCGGAAUUCCAGGUGUAGCGGUGAAAUGCGUAGAUAUCUGGAGGAACACCGGUGGCGAAGGCGGCAUCCUGGACCAACACUGACACUGAGGAGCGAAAGCCAGGGAGCGAAACGGG